UGAAGUCGGUAUAAUUGCAUGGUAGAAAUAAAGAAUAAAAAGAAAAAGAAAAGAGAAAAGUGAAAUGAAGCACGAAUAGUUCAAAAUAUAUAUUUGUAUUGACAUGCAUAUUACAUCAAGUGUCUCGUUAGACUUUUUAUCUCUGAGGGGUAUCUGUUCCCCUAGCCCUUCGGGGUAUCUGUUUCUCCCUCCCCUAUCUUGUCUGGAAAGACGUAAGAGGUCUACUCUCAGUGGAUGACGGCGUACCCUCUGAUGAGAGUGGUGACGCGAAUAUUUGUUAAAGGUCACACUUGGCUAAGUACUAUUGUGACUGUAGAU
rnacentral:lncRNA from 1 species